rnacentral:SRP_RNA from 1 species
GCCGGGCGUGGGGGCUCAUGCUUGUAAUCCCAGCACUUUGGGAGGCUGACACAGAAGGAUCACUUGAGGCCAGGAGUUCAAGACCAGCCUGGGCAACAUAGUGAGACACUGUCUCUACUUUUUCUUUUUCUUUUUCUUUUUCNNNNNNNNNNGCCUGGGCGACAGGGUGAGACUCCAUCUCAAAAAAAAGAAAAAGAAAAAGAAAAAGUAGAGACAGUGUCUCACUAUGUUGCCCAGGCUGGUCUUGAACUCCUGGCCUCAAGUGAUCCUUCUGUGUCAG